rnacentral:pre_miRNA from 1 species
GUGAAAGGCUGACACUCAGCUGCUGACUCGUUGGUUCAAGAGCUCAUCAAUGGAAAAUGUAGAAUCAUGAUGUGUUUCUGAUCCAACGAAGCAGGAGCUGCGUUUAGUCAUG